rnacentral:rRNA from 1 species
AGAGUUUGAUCCUGGCUCAGAACGAACGCUUGCGGCGCGCCUAAUACAUGCAAGUCGAACGAGGUAGCAAUACCUAGUGGCGCACGGGUGAGUAACGCGUGGAUAAUCUGCCUAUCAGUGGGGAAUAACUAUCCGAAAGGAUAGCUAAUACCGCAUGAGGCCACAGUUUCUGCGGAAACAGGGGUUAAAGAUUUAUCGCUGAUAGAUGAGUCUGCGUGGGAUUAGCUAGUUGGUGGGGUAAUGGCCUACCAAGGCAACGAUCUCUAACUGGUCUGAGAGGAUGACCAGUCACACUGGAACUGAGACACGGUCCAGACUCCUACGGGAGGCAGCAGUAGGGAAUAUUGCGCAAUGGGGGAAACCCUGACGCAGCGACGCCGCGUGAGUGAUGAAGGCCUUAGGGUCGUAAAGCUCUGUUGAAUGGGAAGAAACAAAUGACGGUACCAUUCGAGAAAGGACCGGCUAACUUCGUGCCAGCAGCCGCGGUAAGACGAGGGGUCCUAGCGUUGUUCGGAAUAAUUGGGCGUAAAGCGUGUGUAGGCGGCUAUUCAAGUCAGUUGUGAAAGCCCCGGGCUCAACCCGGGAAGUGCUUCUGAUACUGUUUAGCUUGAGUACUAGAGAGGGCAGUAGAAUUCCAGGUGUAGUGGUGAAAUACGUAGAUAUCUGGAGGAAUACCGGUGGCGAAGGCGGCUGCCUGGCUAUGUACUGACGCUGAGACACGAAAGCGUGGGGAGCAAACAGGAUUAGAUACCCUAGUAGUCC